GCUUGACAUGAUAAAAGUAACAAAUAUGAGGGAUCUUAACUGAACAGAGCAGGACAUAGAAGUGCUACCCCUCUGAAUGAAAUAAUUUGUGAUGUGUGGAAGAUAGAUCAUUGAAACAAAUUGUGAUUCUUCUAUGAGCCAGUGGUCACCAGUAAGUAUAUGUAAUGCUGCACUUGGCACAAUUUGAUUCAGCAUAUUUUAUAAUAGCAUUAAAUAUUUAUUACAUAUGAAAUGCUUCACUAUAUUUUCACUAUAAAAUUGAGUUAGUCCUCCGUAAAUUUGUACAAGAGAAUAAAGAGAAUACAAUCUUUAGCACUAAGCAUAGUUUUAUGAUUUGGAAUAGCAAUAGUUAAUUGGGCAGAAGUGUUCCACAUGGCCUGGGGAGUAAGAGGCAACCACUUGCAAUAGCACUGCAGAAUAGAAUUCUCAAGUUUCCUCUUUAAUUAGAAGUUAAAUCGCACGUUAACCAGUAGCUCAGUGUUACUUUUAGGAGUGAUUUAUAAAAUAAAGAAGAGAAUGACUAGAAAAUGGACAUUAGAGGAGGGAGUACAAUUUUAUUUUAUUUUGUAUUGUUUUCUUGCUGUGAUACUUUAUUCUUGCAGACCAAACCAAAAUAUGAAUGUUUAAGUGUUCUCUCUAGGGACAUUCACAGCAGCUCCCCACCAGAUACUUCUUAUAAUAAUAUUUUUAUUUUAAUCAGUAAAAAUCGUUAACAUGCAUAAAACGUGAUAGGUACAUUAGAGCUAAACUGUAUUACAUUUGCCUCUUUAAUGAAUAUAGUUUCCUCUAUCUUUAUAAAUUAUUGUCUGGAGAGGUUUCAAGCUCUUGGGACACUUGAAAAAAAAUACCAAGUUUUAUUAUAGACCUCAGAUAUUCUAUGCUGCUUUUACAAUUUAUUUUUCACAUUACCCAUGCACUAUCAUUUGGAGCUUUGCAUCUGGUAUCUUAGAAGAGAGACAUACCAUUUUCUUGAUUUCUUAAUUUUCUUUUUUUUCCAGGGUUAUCUCUGGCUCAUACAAGAUGUUAUGAAAGAGCUUUAGAGGCCGACGUGGAGCUCCUGAUGUGACCCACCUU